CAAUUCAUUCGACUAAUAAAUUACUCUUGAAGAAUAAGAUUCACACGCAACUCGAGCUACGAUCUGAAAAAAAAUAAUGGAACAUCGAAGAACAACUUUUCAUUUGUCUUCCGAUACGUGACAACGAGAAAGAAAUUAACGUUGUAGGUUAUAUACUUGUGCAAUGACUGUCGAAAAAUCUUAUUUCUUCCAAACAUCACGUUGACGUAUGAAAAACUCGUGCAACAAAGUACCAAUUACGGAUCCACUUGUAUCGCAAAACGAGGUUUUAACACGUUUUACAAUGAUUAUAACACGCGUGCAUGACAAUUGUCAAAAGUAAUCCCCGAAAGAAAUUUAAUUAAACCUUUCCCGAUAUGUUUCAUUGAUGCACCGGCCAAGGAUCCAUGUGCAUCACACACGAUACACCACCACGCGGCUUGGAAGGCCAGAGAGGGUGCUGUUUCGAAGUUGAGAAAUUAUGGAUGAAGGAUUCGAGAGAAAUUUGACGUAAAAAGAAAGAGAGAUGGAGAAGAUGAGGGAAAUCAACGAAGAAUGAACAAAUGCUAUUAUAUCCUCGAUUUUUAAAAUCUUGAACUCUUUUUACGAUAUGAUUUAAUUCUCAUCCUCCUCGCGCGAAUUCCACCACGUUUAGUUCAGAAAGGAAGAAGAGAGAUAAGAAAAUUUGACGCGUUGAAUUGUUGAAAGAGGGAAGGCGUCGUCGUCGGCGUCGUCGUCGAGGUUGGCGCGCACAAUGACUGCAGGUUUCCUAAUACGGCUUCGUCGCCGAGCUG